ACAUUGUCGUAUUUUCAUGAAUGCAAGUUGUAAGACAAGUGUUGAAAACAUUGGCAAAGACAGAUAAACUUUGUACAGAAUUGCCGAGAUCUAGCAUAAAACUCUUUUUCACCAUCUCAGUUGUCUACAAAAUUAACAAUUUUCCCUGUUUUUCCCUCUUCUGCCCUGAUGUGUAGGCUCAAAUGCGUAAAGCCCAACCAUCAGGGCAACAUACACCUCUUCUCAAAGAGAGGCCUGGUGCUGAGACUCAUUCCGGAGCCUUCUCCACAAGGUCAACACCAUCAUCAUCAUCAGAGGAGUCUGUGUCAUCCGCCCAAAGUGGAGAUGACCACAAACCAGCAUUCAGUGAAGGGAGGGGGUCCCGGUCGUCCAACAGCAGUGGAUCAGAAAAGGACCACAUUGAUUUGCAUGAAGCUAAGGCCCUCAAGGCAAAAUGUAAAUCAAAACAAAAAGGUAUGAAAUCGAAAGGAACAGAGAAGUUAAAUGAUGGCCAAAAAAGGAACUACCACCAAUCUUCGUGGAUGUGACACGUGCCUCAGAAAAUACGCACAAGAGAGCAAGGCCAAAAACCCAGAACUGUUGAGGUCAACAAAAUUAAGGAAGCAUGUUGCUACCUUAUGUCAGCUUCUCGACCUGAACAAUCAGGAACUCGAGCAAGUUGCUCGUUUUAUGGGACACGACAUUAGAGUCCAUUGUGAGUUUUAUCGGCAGACCGAUAAAACUUUCCAAGUGGCCAAGAUUGCCAAACUACUGUUUGCGAUGGAACGUGGGACAGAGUCGCUGAAGGGAAAGAGUCUGCAAACCCUGGACUCUGUUAUCACUGGAAGAGCACAUGCAGCCACCUCAACCAAAGGUCUGAAAAGUGGCAAAAAGAGAAGACACGAUCCAGGGAGACGACAGGAAGCUCAAGAUGAAUGAGAAGUGCCACAUUCAGCUGUAGCAACGAGAUCUGAU